rnacentral:rRNA from 1 species
CUACGUGCCAGCAGCCGCGGUAAUACAGAGGGUGCAAGCGUUAAUCGGAAUUACUGGGCGUAAAGCGAGCGUAGGUGGUCAUUUAAGUCAGAUGUGAAAUCCCCGGGCUUAACCUGGGAACUGCAUCUGAUACUGGGUGACUAGAGUAGGUGAGAGGGAAGUAGAAUUCCAGGUGUAGCGGUGAAAUGCGUAGAGAUCUGGAGGAAUACCGAUGGCGAAGGCAGCUUCCUGGCAUCAUACUGACACUGAGGUUCGAAAGCGUGGGUAGCAAACAGGAUUAGAUACCCUGGUAGUCCACGCCGUAAACGAUGUCUACCAGUCGUUGGGUCUCUUGAAGACUUAGUGACGCAGUUAACGCGAUAAGUAGACCGCCUGGGGAGUACGGCCGCAAGGUUAAAACUCAAAUGAAUUGACGGGGGCCCGCACAAGCGGUGGAGCAUGUGGUUUAAUUCGAUGCAACGCGAAGAACCUUACCUACUCUUGAC